rnacentral:misc_RNA from 1 species
CAAGAAGCCGAAUGGCUACUUAAAACCAUCGCGAACUUAUCCAAGUUGCUUCGGCGGCGCGGCUCCCCUCACGGGGGACCGCAGCCCCCGCCUCUCAGGAGGUAAGGGGCAGCCGCCGGAGGUACGAAACUCUGUAUUAUAGUGGUAUCUCUGAGUAUAAAACAAAUAAGUUAC